rnacentral:lncRNA from 1 species
UCCGUUCGGUUCGUCCCUUGCUCCUGCAGCUGAGAGGGAAAGUUCCGGGUUGAUGGAAAUGGAAAGGAACGGCUGAGAGGGGAGAAUGAAGCAGCUGAGAGACUCUGAUGUUGCUGUCGGGUCAGGGAAAGGGGAAAAAAAAUGAGCGGCUGUUUGGGGGAGGGGCUGUUUGGCUUUGGUUUGUGUCUCAAGAGGAAGAAGGAGAUGGGGCUACGGGUCAGGAGCGAUCUGAAGUGGGGUGCUCGUUUAGGUGCUGGAAAAUGUGUUCUGGGCGAUGGGUGUUUGGCAGGGCUGUGUUGAUGAAUGGAGAGGCAGCUCUGGUGAGGAACCGAUUGUGAGAGGGAGAUGAUGAAAUGGGGAGGCUGAAGGUCGGUUCAAGGGACCCCGGUCUGCUUGGGGAGUGGCUGAAGGAAGAAAAAAAAAAAUCAAAAGUCCGGUGGGGGGAGGGGGGCUGCUUGGUUUUCUUUUGUGCAGGGAGAGGGGAAGGUCUCGGUGAUGGUGAUUGGUUUGUGGAGAUAGGGGUGUUCGGGUGGCUGAGGCAAAAAAAUUCAAACCGGCUGGGGGUUGUAAAAAACUUCAAACCAAAGGGGAGGGGGGCGGCUUGUCUUGAAAAAAAUGGGUUUAGGGUUAGGUUUUGUAUUUUUUCU